GAAAUGAACGCCCUUUGAGGUCAGGUGGACAAGGAUGUCAGUGUGAAGAUGGACACUGUGCCUGGAGUGAACCUGAGCUGCAUCCUGAAUGAGAUGCGUGACCAGGACAAGAAACUGGUGGAGAAGAGCUGCAAGGAUGCCCAGGGCUGGUUCUUCAGCGUGGUGGGUGGCCGUGUGUAAGCAGGUGUGCACACGUGUGGGCACAUACGCCGUGUGCUGGUGCAGUUGGAACACCGGCAGAUUCACAGGCUGUCCCAGUUGGAAGGACUUUUGGAAACCAGUCGGACCAGCCCUUCAUGUCUUCGAUGUAAAAUGUGAGGCUCAGAGAGGACUCAAGCUCACACAGCCCUUCACUGUGGCCUGCAAAAUAGAUCCCGUUCUCUGCAAGUCUGGUCUUGGGUUUCCACCACAGCUGUUUACAGGAUGUGUGUAUUUGAGUACAUACACAUACCCUUGGCAAGCACAGGCUGAGUGUGUCCGGUGUCCUAGGGACAGCAACAGGUGCAAAAGAAUAACACCCAGUGCCUGUCUUUGAGGUGCUGUAGUUCGGUAGGAGUAAGAAAUGCAAACGACCGCAGAGCAGGUUGAAUUCCUCCAAGGUCCAACAUGGGUGCAGAGAGUCUUUGUGUGCAGGUGCUUUUGGGGCCCCAUAGAGGCCAGGGAGGGUUUAGGGGAUGGUUCUGGGAGGCGAGGGCUCAGGAACAGCCCCUUUCCUGUGCCCCACUUGUGAAAGUCUCCAUAAACCCCUGUGGCCCACUCUGCCUUCCAGAGAGAGGGGCUGAACUGCAAGGUGGCCACCAACACAGAGGCCCUGCAGAGCGGCAGGAUGGAGAUGUGGAGCUCUACAUCUCUGUGCAGAACCUGAGCCGUCCCAGCUCAGCAAGGUAGGGCCCCUGUCCCCUCCCCACCCUGUACCUGUCACCCCAGGGUGAGCGCAGCCUUAUAGACCCCUGCUUGGAGAACCAGAGUCCCCACCCAGCCUGUCCCUUCACACUCAGUGGCUGGGUGCACUACCACCCAACUGUGCCGGCAGCACCCACAGCUCCAUACAGGAGGGGCUCCUCUCUAGUGCUCUGCCAUGGGGAAGGGUCCCACGUCCAUCUCAUCGCACCACCUAUCUCUUGGCCCACAGAAAGCAUCGCUGGAGGGCAGCCUGGUGGAGACGGAGGUGUGUUACAGGACCCAGCUGGCCCAGCUGCAGGGGCUCAUCAGAAGCAUGGAACAGCAGCUGUGCGAGCUCUGCUGUGAUGCAGAGCACCAGGACCACGAGCACCAGGUCCUUCUGGACGUGAAGACGCGGCUGGAGCAGGAGAUCGCCACCUACAGCCGCUUGCUAGAGGUUGAGGACGCCCAGUGAGUGUGCACCCAGGUACCUGCUGGGGCGGGCUGGGGGCCCACUUCACCCAGGGAGAAGUUGGUGUCUGAGCACCAGCAAAGUUCAGGAGGUGUGAAUGUGGGAACCUGUGGGGUUUGCAGGAGGUGAAACUGACGAUGCAGGCUGGAGUCUGACUGAGGAGCCUUGACUGCCAAGUUAAAGCGUCUGGACUAGAUCACGUAGGCAAUGGGGAGCCAUGGAGGGAUUUGGAGCAGAAGAAGGGAAUGAACAUCAAGAUAUUUUAGAACAUUCACUCUGGCUACAGAGGGAGAAAUGGAUCAGAGGGGUCAGGGUGGGGCCAGAGAGACGCGUCAGGGGGCUAGAGCAGGGAGUCUGGCCAGAGAAGUCUUGCGGGGUGGAGGCUGGGUGGGGGGGCAGGGGAAGGAAGGUGGUGCACGCAGAAGAGAGGUUAUAGCUCAAAACAGCAGGACUGGAUGCCUGGAUCUCAGGGUAAGCGUGGCUCACGGUCAGGACUCAGUAAGCGUUGGGUGAACACAUAUGAAGGAGUGGGCAUUGAUGGCCCUGGGUUUCUGGUUCCGAUGACUGUGUGAGUCCAUCAGCCACAGGGUGAAGAGCAUGGUGGGUGGUGGUCGGGUUUGCAGUUGGGAAGGGUGAUCAGGCCUUCAGCUGAGUGUGUCCUGGAGUCUCCAUGCUUAGUCACACGUUGCAGCUUUUUGCUCCCCGAAAAUGGUGAAGUCCAUCUAUAGUCUAACGACAGUCUCUCCUGCUUUAAUUGGGUCUAUUUGUUGGGUCCUCUGGGACAUGGAAAAACCACUUGCUCAGCUUCUCCUUGUAAAUUCCUGGUGAGUGCCUCCAGGCCUACUGCUGUGCUGUUUCUUUUUCUUCUUCCUGCUGCACUGAACCCCUGCCCUUUCAUUCUUGGGCCUGUGCUAAUUUCUGUGCAUUCCCAACUGUGAUUUUUCACCAAUUUAGGGGAACCUCCUCUGCCAGGGCCUGCUUCUCCCCAGCAGUGCUUGCAGGGGCCUGGGCUGGCUGGCAUCCCUGGGUCGAUGGGUGCUCCUCUCCCUGCAGGCUGGCCACUCAGUACUCCUUGUCCCUGGCCUCGCAGCCCACCUGGGAAGGUAAGAAGCUGCCCUGUCCUGCUGUGUGGACCCCAAGGCGGCGGAGAGGCUGAGGACCCUUCUGUGUGGGAGACUGGGGGGACCACAGACUCGGGCAGGUGGGGGGAAGAGCUCCUGCCUGAUGUUCCCUGUGCCUCCCUCCUCCAUCGCCUGCAGCCACAGUGACCAGCCACCAGGUGUGCCAUCGUGGAGGAAGUCCAGGUUGGAGAGGUGGUCUUCUGUAAGCAGGUCCAUCUCUCCACCCACUGAGGCCCCUUUCUGCCUGUGACAGCCCCACCUCGAGGGUCAUGGCACAGCCAUCAGCUGCAGCUCCCAGCAUGCUACUGCCACGCCCCGAGUGUCCGUCUGGGCACUGGUCCAUGACCUGUUGUCUUUCUGUAUCUACUUUCUGCAGCCCCUCACUGAGGAGGCCUCCUGGGUUUGUCCAGUGCCUGCUAUUAAAGCUUUGCUCCAAGUUCAAUGCCUCGUGUGAUCUGGUCUGUUCAUUGGUUUGGGGCAGUGUGGGCUGAGGGACUGGGAUAGGUGGAGAGUUUAUUGAGUGUUUGGGUAUUGGCUUGUCACCUGCCAAUCUGUUCUGCCCACUCCAUCCAGGCCUGGGGCUCCUAGAAGACCAGAGGGGAGGAGGAGGAAGGAUUAAGGGUGGAGGGAAGGGACAGCCCCUUGUAUUGGGAAAAGUUUCUAAGAAUCAGCCCCUGA